rnacentral:lncRNA from 1 species
GUAAAAAGUUAAAUGUGUAAAGUUAAUGUCUUUGCAGAAGGAGGGACGCAAAAUUCAAAUAGCGUUUCCCCUCAACAUACUUCUAAUAGGUGCAUUAAAAAAAGUCAGAACAAAACUUCAGAUUUCUACUGAUUCUACAAAUGUAAAUGCCGUGUCUUCACCUGUGCCACGGAUGGCACAAAGCGCAGUCAGUCCUUAACAAACAGACAAGAGUGAUAAAAAGCCAAUAUGCAAAUUGCGUUAUACACCAACGUGUUUUCUUAAUUUGUGUAUGAGGCUCAUUUAAGAUUCCAAUAUAUGUACAAGUUAUAAUCUAUACAAUGUUCCUUAACACGCACUUGAGACCUCAUCAGUGAUGGGGGAGAUAAUCUUCACAAAUGCCUUUUUCAUCAGUCAAAAGCUCGGCGGGGCUGCUGGGUGCCGGUGGUCGUGUCUGGGCUGACUGUGUGGGUGCAGGGAAGGGGCGGCUCGGGGUGGGGGAGCCCGUGUCAUUCGGUGGGAAUUGCCUGCUCCCACAGCGGCAACAUUUAUCGCAAAAGCAGGAAAUUGCUUAUUAUUAAAUAGCUGGCAAGGGAGUGGGAGCCGAUGCUGUUCCACACUGGCACAGCACUUACUUUGCUGCUUUCCCUGCCUCUCCUCAUUCCGUUCUUUCUUUUUCUUCUUCCCCCUCUUUCUCUCUCUCCCCUCUCUCUCUCUCCUCUUCUUUUUUUCAUUUUGGCUUCUAUUCAAAUGUGGGUCAGGGGUGAGCGGCUCCCAACGUCACAAGCUUGCAAGAUGGCGCUGGGAGGAAGGCUGUGAGAUGAGGAACAGGCUGGUAUAAACCGAGAGGACAGGAGAGGGAGAGGAGAGGGGCAGGGGAAGCAGAGCCGCUGCUCCAGAUGCACUAAGAAGGGUCGGAGCGGAGCCUCGGGGUGCCGGGGGGGCGUGUUUGCGCCGGGGAUCCGGCCGUAUUGUGGAGGAGAGGGCAGGGAAGUGGCUCCCGGUACUCGCAUCGCCUCCUUCCCCCUCCUCCGUCCCUCCGCGGGGCUGAGAGGCGCCGAGCCAGGCCGGCAGACCCCGGGCACACUGCCAGCCCCUGCCCCACCGGGCACCCCAACGGAGACCGCGGUGAACUUUUGCCCCAGCUCCCUCUUGUCCCCCUCGGCCCUUUGGGAUGACGGAGCCGCCAGCUCCUUUCGCCCUGCCUGCGGCCGCGGCUCUCCGGCUUUUGUUAGAGCUCCGUCUGGGCUCAGCGCUCGGAGGCGGCAGCGCGCAUCCUCCCGCGGCAAGGGGCUGGCAGGACCCUGCCUCCGGCUUUGUGCCCCCGGAGGAAAUGCAUGGCCUCGGCCCCGCCAUGCCGGAGCAGCGCUGUCCGCCCCGCUCAAGAAACAAACAAAAAUAUAUAUGUAUGUGUGCGUGUAUAAAUGUAAAAUAAUGAAUGCUCUAUGCGCAAGCUGGCAAUAUCGCUGCGAAACGCGCACUGCUAUAGUGUAA